rnacentral:rRNA from 1 species
UUUCCCUACGGACGCAGCAGUGGGGGAUAUUGCACAAUGGGGGGAACCCUGAUGCAGCGACGCCGCGUGUGGGAAGACGGUCCUCUGGAUUGUAAACCACUGUCCCCAGGGACGAAAAUGACGGUACCUGGGGAGGAAGCUCCGGCUAACUACGUGCCAGCAGCCGCGGUAAUACGUAGGGAGCGAGCGUUGUCCGGAAUUACUGGGUGUAAAGGGAGCGUAGGCGGGGAUGCAAGUUGGGUGUCAAAACUACCGGCUCAACUGGUAGUCGCACUCAAAACCGCAGCUCUUGAGUGAAGGAGAGG